CCUACGUGAGGCAGCAGUGGGGAAUAUUGCGCAAUGGGCGAAAGCCUGACGCAGCGACGCCGCGUGAGGGAUGAAGGUCUUCGGAUCGUAAACCUCUGUCAGCAGGGAAGAACGGUCACUGUGCUAAUCAGCAGUGAAUUGACGGUACCUGCAAAGGAAGCACCGGCUAACUCCGUGCCAGCAGCCGCGGUAAUACGGAGGGUGCGAGCGUUAAUCGGAAUUACUGGGCGUAAAGCGCUCGUAGGCGGUAUGUCAAGUCAAGUGUGAAAUCCCCGCGCGCAACGUGGGAACUGCCUUUGAAACUGGCAAACUGGAGUGUGUGAGAGGAUAGUGGAAUUCCAGGUGUAGGAGUGAAAUCCGUAGAUAUCUGGAGGAACAUCAGUGGCGAAGGCGACUAUCUGGCACAUAACUGACGCUGAGGAGCGAAAGCGUGGGUAGCAAACAGGAUUAGAUACCCGGGUAGUC
rnacentral:rRNA from 1 species